GCUAGGCAGUGCUGUUAGAAAGUGAUUUGGAAGAGCGCUUCCGAGCCACGGCGCGCCCUCCGGGGGAGCGCACCGGAGCAGGUGCGGGCGAGACCCGCGCCCGGGGAGAUCAGGAAUUCCCCAGCCACACCAGAUCCAACCGGACGCCCCAGAACGGGGACGGUCCCCGGAGUCCGCCUCCCAACCUGGAAGCACCUUGAGGAAGAAAUUGUCUUGUCUACAGCUCUAUCCUCAGUACAGCACCAAGCUUACAGUAGAUGCUCAGUGAAGAUUUGCCGAUUUGCCGAUUUGCCGAAUGAAUGCUUUCACCCCUGCAACUGUUUACUGCCUGCUAGGAGCUCAGAGCCUCUGGGAUACAGGCUGGGAAUGACAGUGCCUGCUUGCUUGGAAGGCCUCUCAUCUGGAGUCAAUAAAACAGCACUUCUUUGCUUCUUC
rnacentral:lncRNA from 1 species